CUCAGGACGAACGCUGGCGGCGUGCCUAAUACAUGCAAGUCGAACGCACGAAGUUGAAGAGCUUGCUCUUUAACCAAGUGAGUGGCGGACGGGUGAGUAACACGUGGGUAACCUGCCCAUUAGAGGGGGAUAACAUUCGGAAACGGAUGCUAAUACCGCAUAGUUUCAGGAAUCGCAUGAUUCUUGAAGGAAAGGUGGCUUCGGCUACCACUAAUGGAUGGACCCGCGGCGUAUUAGCUAGUUGGUGAGGUAAUGGCUCACCAAGGCAAUGAUACGUAGCCGACCUGAGAGGGUGAUCGGCCACACUGGGACUGAGACACGGCCCAGACUCCUACGGGAGGCAGCAGUAGGGAAUCUUCCGCAAUGGACGAAAGUCUGACGGAGCAACGCCGCGUGAGUGAAGAAGGUUUUCGGAUCGUAAAACUCUGUUGUUAAAGAAGAACAAGGAUGAGAGUAACUGCUCAUCCCCUGACGGUAUUUAACCAGAAAGCCACGGCUAACUACGUGCCAGCAGCCGCGGUAAUACGUAGGUGGCAAGCGUUGUCCGGAUUUAUUGGGCGUAAAGCGAGCGCAGGCGGUUCUUUAAGUCUGAUGUGAAAGCCCCCGGCUCAACCGGGGAGGGUCAUUGGAAACUGGAGAACUUGAGUGCAGAAGAGGAGAGUGGAAUUCCACGUGUAGCGGUGAAAUGCGUAGAUAUGUGGAGGAACACCAGUGGCGAAGGCGACUCUCUGGUCUGUAACUGACGCUGAGGCUCGAAAGCGUGGGGAGCAAACAGGAUUAG
rnacentral:rRNA from 1 species